AUUCACAGUCAAGUCAUGUGGAACUACACAACUUCCUUUUUGUGCAUUGGAGCUGGAAAUCUCGUUGAGUUUGGGAGGCCUUACUUCUGCAUAUUUGAAUCUGGUGACCAAAUUAAACAUUGUUCUAAAAAUCUGAAGACCCGACCUUACUAUUGGCAAAGACAGACAAACACUCUACAAAUAGUGCUUGAAAAAUGCCACUGUUUGGUUCAGAUGGUGAAGAGGAACUCAGGAAGGCCUGGCAGUCUCUAGGAGGCUAGGGCAGUGGUUCUCAAAUGAUAGGGUGUACAGAAAUUCCCUGGAGGACUUGUGACAACAAAGAUUGCUAGGCCUACUCCCAGGGUUUCUAAUUCAGCAGGUCUGGGGAUGGAGCUCAAGUAUCUGCAUUUCUAACAAGUCCCCGGUGGUGCUGAUGCUGCUUGCAUGGACCAGUUUUGAGAACCAUACUUGGAGAAACACUUGGUUAGGAAAACUAUGUCUGUUACAGAUUGAUCAAAGGGCUCUUAAGUUCCUUUUGUACAAUAAAUCACUGCGAUAUCAAAUGAGGUAAAUGAACAUGCUCUUUGAACUCUUAACUUCUAGACCAAUAUAAAACAUUCUAAAUAUGAAAUGGAAACAUUUACAAUUGUUAUUGAUUCUCAUCAAUGCAAUGUUCAAUAAAGAUAAG
rnacentral:lncRNA from 1 species